AGUUGGAUCAUUAACGUAACAACUUGUGAAUGGGUCUUUAACAAGCCUGUGAUCAAACAGUCAUCGUUUCGCGAUCGAAUCAACCAUGCUCUAAGUUCAAACCACAGCCUCGGCUUAGACGCGACAGUGCGUGGCGACUAUGAGAAACCAUCCACCAGGUUGGUGCGAAAGCACCAGCUGAACGCAGAUGGGAGCCACAACCCCCCUCAACCUUUCCUCUGUGAAAGGCACUUAAUGGUGAAUCUCUUGGCUAAUGCAUCGAUGAAGACCGCAGCGAACUGUGAUAAGUAUGGUGAAUCGCAGAACACCGCGAACCAUGAAACCGUUGAACGCACACUGCAGCCCUUAGUCCGCUAAGGGUUACGCGUUGCUGAGUGUCGGUUCUAACUCAAUGGCCUGAUCAGAGCGAUGAAGAGCAAUCAGACUUGCGAUGAGAAGGCUUAUCUACCCAGUGGUGAAUUCAAACCCGCCUCUGCUCGAAUCCAGUGAAGCGCAAACUGCAGACAGACACUCACAGGCAAUAGCCUGUGAGUGUUAGUAAAGGAACAGGCCAACCUCGGACGACAGACUGUAUGGGAUUGGGUAUCAUUGUCUAACUCUGAUCGGAUCACUGACCUCGAAUAUGACUGCGAUGGCUUUGCAAGAGACUAUCAAAUGCCUCGUCACUGAUUGGUCGAAGCUUGUGAAUCGAGAGGUUCACACAGCAUGAGAUCAACCCCCACUGACCUCAGCAAUACGAGAAUACGCGCUGAACUUAAGCAUAUCAAUAAGCGCAGGAAGAGAAAGUAACUACGAUUCCCCUAGUAACUGCGAGUGAACAGGGAAGAGUCCAUCCCUGAAUCGAUAGUGGAGGGAUUAACUGAAGCUAUCGAACUGUAGGGUCAGAACCUUGUGGCAAGGCUCGGGAUUGUUGGAAAGUUCUCUGGAAUGAGGCGCCGAGGAGGGUGAUAGCCCCGUCUACCACAACAUCCCCCGAGUCAACAACGCUACUGGCGUUCAAGAGUCGGGCUGUUUGGGACUGCAGCUCUAACAGGCAGAUAUACCUCUGCUAAGACUAAAUACCAGCAUUAGACCGAUAGCGAACAAGUAGAGUGAUCGAAAGAUGAAAAGAACCUUGAAAAGAGAGUUAAACAGUACGUGAAACCAUUGAGUGGUAAGGGCUUCAUGUCCAUCCACUGGGCUAGCCUCAGCCAGACUGGGGUAGCUUAGAGCAGCUCGGAUUGAAUGGCCUCUACCGGCCUAGGAUGAGCUUGGGGGAACGCUUGCGUUCGCUUGAGUCACCUGGGUGCUGACUGACGGUUAGUCGAUUCGCAUGAAAGAGCCUCGCAUGCAGCCACGUCUUAACGCUUGGUGAUGGUCGAAGUAGGGUCACCGGGUUCGCCUGAGGGCCUAGCACGCUAUCUUACUGGGUGGCCUAGGGCGUGAUACUAAGUGUGAGCUGAUGUUGCUAAGAAUGGCAUGAAUCCACCCGUCUUGAAACACGGACCAAGGAGUCUACUGCGUAUGCAAGUGUUAUGGUGAUCGAAACCAAGGCGUCAAAGCCGUCUAACGCACAGUGAAAGUAAACCCAGUGAAUCGGUGGUGGAAACACUGCUGACGCAACUGGGACCGCACCUAAUCAAUUGGAAAGGGUUGUGAGUCAAAGCAUAUACGGUGGGACCCGAAAGAUGGUGAACUAUGCCUGAGUAGGGCGAAGCCGAGGGAAACCUUGGUGGAGGUCCGUAGCAGUACUGACGUGCAAAUCGUUUGUCAAACUUGGGUAUAGGGGCGAAAGACUCAUCGAACUGUCUAGUAGCUGGUUCCCUC
rnacentral:misc_RNA from 1 species